GAUGAACGCUGGCGGCGUACCUAAUACAUGCAAGUCGAGCGAACGGACGAGAAGCUUGCUUUUCUGAUGUUAGCGGCGGACGGGUGAGUAACACGUGGAUAACCUACCUAUAAGACUGGGAUAACUUCGGGAAACCGGAGCUAAUACCGGAUAAUAUUUUGAACCGCAUGGUUCAAAAGUGAAAGACGGUCUUGCUGUCACUUAUAGAUGGAUCCGCGCUGCAUUAGCUAGUUGGUAAGGUAACGGCUUACCAAGGCAACGAUGCAUAGCCGACCUGAGAGGGUGAUCGGCCACACUGGAACUGAGACACGGUCCAGACUACUACGGGAGGCAGCAGUAGGGAAUCUUCCGCAAUGGGCGAAAGCCUGACGGAGCAACGCCGCGUGAGUGAUGAAGGUCUUCGGAUCGUAAAACUCUGUUAUUAGGGAAGAACAUAUGUGUAAGUAACUGUGCACAUCUUGACGGUACCUAAUCAGAAAGCCACGGCUAACUACGUG
rnacentral:rRNA from 1 species